GACGAACGCUGGCGGCGUGCUUAACACAUGCAAGUCGAACGGAAAGGCCCUGCUUGCAGGGUGCUCGAGUGGCGAACGGGUGAGUAACACGUGGGUGAUCUGCCCCUUACUUUGGGAUAAGCCUGGGAAACUGGGUCUAAUACUGGAUAGGACCAUGCUGUAGGUGGUGUGGUGGACAGAUUAGUUUCGGUAAGGGAUGAGCUCGCGGCCUAUCGGCUUGUUGGUGGGGUAAUGGCCUACCAAGGCGUCGACGGGUAGCCGGCCUGAGAGGGUGGACGGCCACAUUGGGACUGAGCUACGGGCCAGACUCCUACGGGAGGCAGCAGUGGGGAAUAUUGCACAAUGGGCGCAAGCCUGAUGCAGCGACGCCGCGUGGGGGAUGACGGCCUUCGGGUUGUAAACUCCUUUCAGCCAUGACGAAGCCCUUGUGGUGACGGUAGUGGUAGAAGAAGCACCGGCUAACUACGUG
rnacentral:rRNA from 1 species